rnacentral:rRNA from 1 species
CCUGGCGGCGAGUGGCGAACGGGUGAGUAAUAUAUCGGAACGUACCCAAGAGUGGGGGAUAACGUAGCGAAAGUUACGCUAAUACCGCAUACGAUCCAAGGAUGAAAGUGGGGGAUUCGCAAGAACCUCAUGCUCCUGGAGCGGCCGAUAUCUGAUUAGCUAGUUGGUAGGGUAAAGGCCUACCAAGGCUACGAUCAGUAGCUGGUCUGAGAGGACGACCAGCCACACUGGAACUGAGACACGGUCCAGACUCCUACGGGAGGCAGCAGUGGGGAAUUUUGGACAAUGGGCGCAAGCCUGAUCCAGCAAUGCCGCGUGAGUGAAGAAGGCCUUCGGGUUGUAAAGCUCUUUUGUCAGGGAAGAAACGGUGGGAGCUAAUAUCUCCCACUAAUGACGGUACCUGAAGAAUAAGCACCGGCUAACUACGUGCCAGCAGCCGCGGUAAUACGUAGGGUGCAAGCGUUAAUCGGAAUUACUGGGCGUAAAGCGUGCGCAGGCGGUUUUGUAAGUCUGUCGUGAAAGCCCCGGGCUCAACCUGGGAAUUGCGAUGGAGACUGCAAGGCUUGAAUCUGGCAGAGGGGGGUAGAAUUCCACGUGUAGCAGUGAAAUGCGUAGAGAUGUGGAGGAACACCGAUGGCGAAGGCAGCCCCCUGGGUCAAGAUUGACGCUCAUGCACGAAAGCGUGGGGAGCAAACAGGAUUAGAUACCCUGGUAGUCCACGCCCUAAACGAUGUCUACUAGUUGUCGGGUUUUAAUUAACUUGGUAACGCAGCUAACGCGUGAAGU